CGAACGGGGGAAUAACCCAUUAGUAGCUUUACAAACUACUGCCUUAAUCAGCCACCCGUUC
rnacentral:tRNA from 1 species